CCUACGGGAGGCAGCAGUGGGGAAUAUUGCACAAUGGGGGAAACCCUGAUGCAGCGACGCCGCGUGAGUGAAGAAGUAAUUCGUUAUGUAAAGCUCUAUCAGCAGGGAAGAAAAUGACGGUACCUGAGUAAGAAGCCCCGGCUAACUACGUGCCAGCAGCCGCGGUAAUACGUAGGGGGCAAGCGUUAUCCGGAUUUACUGGGGGGAAAGGGAGCGUAGACGGCAGUGCAAGUCUGGAGGGAAAGGCGGGGGCUCAACCCCCGGACUGCUCUGGAAACUGGACGGCUGGAGUGCAGGAGAGGUAAGUGGAAUUCCUAGUGUAGCGGUGAAAUGCGUAGAUAUUAGGAGGAACACCAGUGGCGAAGGCGGCUUACUGGACUGUAACUGACGUUGAGGCUCGAAAGCGUGGGGAGCAAACAGGAUUAGAUACCCUUGUAGUC
rnacentral:rRNA from 1 species